GAGGCGGGAGGAUUGCUUCAGCCUAGGCAGUUGAGGCUGCAGUGAGCCAUGAUCAUACCACUGUACUCCAGCCUGAGUGACAGAGCAAGACCCUGUCUCA
rnacentral:miRNA from 1 species